ensembl:lncRNA
GUUCCCCAAGAGAUAUAUGCCUCUGUGUCCUCUUCCUGUCCCACAAACACAUGGUCAAAAACACAGUUCUUUUUCAGAUCAUUCAGUAUCAUACAGAAACACUUGGAAGGAAACAAAUAAAGAAACAAAACUCACAAAAAACAAGGACCUGGCUCAACAGCUUCAAGAGUGGCUAAAGUCCUUCCUCUCUCAUAGUGACACACUAGGGAUAGUUAUGCGGUGACUAUAGAGACCAUUAGAAGUUGGCUAAUGUCUUUGGAAUGAGCAUGGUUAUAUAUUUAAAAACAAUCAUUGGAGGGUUUUAAAGUGACUGAAUGGGCCUUCUGAAGGGGCGACUUUGGAAUGGCUUUUAGAAAUCCUCAGCUGACUGAGCAUGUGUCAGAUCUUUUGGCAGAAUGUUUAGGAAACAGGUCUUAAAACAGUACAUUCAACUCUUUCUGUUACUUUUAAAUUGAUAAAUCUGGUCGAACAAACUUUAUUCACAUACUAUUCACAGAACACAAAUAUACAUCUAUAUGUACACAUACUUUCCAGUGUCCAGGCACUUUCCAAGAAAGUCCAAAGGGGGAUUUGGUAAAAAAAAAGAAAAAGUCACAACAUUGUCUGUGUAAUCUGUUCAGGCAAUAUUUUCUCUGGCUACCUUAGAACAAAAUUUUUUCCAAAAAUGACAAUUCUGUCAUAUCGUCCCAAAUCCUGUGUUUUACAGUAGAAAUAAAGUCACGUUUGGAACAAUGGCAGAUUUUUCAUUUUUGAGAGAACUGUCCCUAUAACUACUACAGCUUGUUAACACCAUCAGUCAUUCGAUGCGGUCGUGAGCCGCCAGUCAGUGUGGACUGAGGCAGGCUGACAUCUGAGAUGGUUUAUGCGGAGUAAUUUAAUCGUUGAGAAAACGCCUCUGUGGUUUGCUAACUUGGCAUCUUGCUGAUAUGGCAAUUUCACAGUUGGGGGUCAUAACAAUUGGAGAGAUGUGUGUGUGUGUGUGUAAUACUGAUGUGGAAACUAUUUUAUUUAGUGCUUUUAGUUUAAACUACUGUAAUUCAAUGGUGGUAAAUAGAAUUUGGUAUUUUUAUCACUGAACUCUUGGCCGUCGGUUCUACUUACUGCACUAAAGUGUCUGGCACCUUCCACAAAUUAAUUACAAAUUACAGCCUGAAGCUCCUUUACUUAUUUUCAACCAACAGACAGUGAAAGAAGGUUGAUUUUCACCCCUCAGAAGGUCACACCAAUUUUUAUAUAAGCUGUUUUUCAUGUAUUUUCUAUGGGAAAUUCUUUGUUGAAAUGUUUAAAUCAAGUUAAAAAAAGCCAGAUUUAUAUGCUUUUAUAAUGUGGCGACAAAAAAUCUAAAAAUUUAAUUAAAAAAAUUGUGUAAAAAACUGCUGCAUAAAAUAAAAAAUAUAGCAUAAAAUAACCUG